ACUCCGUUGGUGAACCAGCGGAGGGAUCAUUACAGGACUCGCAAGACUCCUUCACCCUGUGAACCUCACUACAAGCACGUUGCUUCGGCGGGUGUCCCGGCGGGGGUUUUCCCUCGCCGGGGCGCACAGCCCGCCGGCAGCCUACUAUACCCUGUCUCUUUGCGUUGGCAUCUCGAGAAAAAACAAACAAGUUAAAACUUUCAACAACGGAUCUCUUGGUUCUG
rnacentral:misc_RNA from 1 species